UAGCGGCGAGUGAAGCGGCAAAAGCUCAAAUUUGAAAUCUGGCACCUUCGGUGUCCGAGUUGUAAUUUGAAGAUUGUAACCUUGGGGUUGGCUCUUGUCUAUGUUUCUUGGAACAGGACGUCACAGAGGGUGAGAAUCCCGUGCGAUGAGAUGCCCAAUCCUAUGUAAGGUGCUUUCGAAGAGUCGAGUUGUUUGGGAAUGCAGCUCUAAGUGGGUGGUAAAUUCCAUCUAAAGCUAAAUAUUGGCGAGAGACCGAUAGCGAACAAGUACAGUGAUGGAAAGAUGAAAAGAACUUUGAAAAGAGAGUGAAAAAGUACGUGAAAUUGUUGAAAGGGAAGGGUUUGAGAUCAGACUCGAUAUUUUGUGAGCCUUGCCUUCGUGGCGGGGUGACCCGCAGCUUAUCGGGCCAGCAUCGGUUUGGGCGGUAGGAUAAUGGCGUAGGAAUGUGACUUUACUUCGGUGAAGUGUUAUAGCCUGCGUUGAUGCUGCCUGCCUAGACCGAGGACUGCGAUUUUAUCAAGGAUGCUGGCAUAAUGAUCCCAAACCGCCCGUCUUGAACACAAGACCAUG
rnacentral:rRNA from 1 species